GGAGAUGUAGCUUAGUGGAGGAACAUUUGCCUAGCAUGCAUAAGACCUGGGUUCAAACCCCAGCACCACAA
rnacentral:tRNA from 1 species